rnacentral:rRNA from 1 species
UCCUACGGGAGGCAGCAGUGGGGAAUAUUGCACAAUGGGGGAAACCCUGAUGCGGCCAUGCCGCGUGUGUGAAGAAGGCCUUCGGGUUGUAAAGCACUUUCAGUAGGGAGGAAGGUAGUGUAGUUAACACCUGCAUUAUUUGACGUUACCUACAGAAGAAGCACCGGCUAACUCCGUGCCAGCAGCCGCGGUAAUACGGAGGGUGCGAGCGUUAAUCGGAAUUACUGGGCGUAAAGCGCAUGCAGGCGGCCUGUUAAGUCAGAUGUGAAAGCCCGGGGCUUAACCUCGGAAUUGCAUUUGAAACUGGCAGGCUAGAGUCUUGUAGAGGGGGGUAGAAUUUCAGGUGUAGCGGUGAAAUGCGUAGAGAUCUGAAGGAAUACCAGUGGCGAAGGCGGCCCCCUGGACAAAGACUGACGCUCAGAUGCGAAAGCGUGGGGAGCAAACAGGAUUAGAUACCCUGGUAGUCCACGCCGUAAACGAUGUCUACUUGGAGGUUGUGGCCUUGAGCCGUGGCUUUCGGAGCUAACGCGUUAAGUAGACCGCCUGGGGAGUACGGUCGCAAGAUUAAAACUCAAAUGAAUUGACGGA